UACGUAGGGUCCGAGCGUUGUCCGGAAUUACUGGGCGUAAAGAGCUCGUAGGUGGUUUUGUCGCGUUGUUCGUGAAAACUCACAGCUCAACUGUGGGCGUGCGGGCGAUACGGGCAGACUGGAGUACUGCAGGGGAGACUGGAAUUCCUGGUGUAGCGGUGGAAUGCGCAGAUAUCAGGAGGAACACCGGUGGCGAAGGCGGGUCUCUGGGACGGUACUGACGCUGAGACGCGAAAGCGUGGGGGAGCAAACAGG
rnacentral:rRNA from 1 species